CCUACGGGUGGCAGCAGUGGGGAAUUUUGGACAAUGGGCGCAAGCCUGAUCCAGCCAUGCCGCGUGCGGGAAGAAGGCCUUCGGGUUGUAAACCGCUUUUGUCAGGGAAGAAACGGUCUGGGUUAAUACCUCGGACUAAUGACGGUACCUGAAGAAUAAGCACCGGCUAACUACGUGCCAGCAGCCGCGGUAAUACGUAGGGUGCAAGCGUUAAUCGGAAUUACUGGGCGUAAAGCGUGCGCAGGCGGCUUUGCAAGACAGAUGUGAAAUCCCCGGGCUCAACCUGGGAACUGCAUUUGUGACUGCAAGGCUGGAGUGCGGCAGAGGGGGAUGGAAUUCCGCGUGUAGCAGUGAAAUGCGUAGAUAUGCGGAGGAACACCGAUGGCGAAGGCAAUCCCCUGGGCCUGCACUGACGCUCAUGCACGAAAGCGUGGGGAGCAAACAGGAUUAGAUACCCCGGUAGUC
rnacentral:rRNA from 1 species